GACAGAGGGUGCAAACGUUGUUCGGAAUUACUGGGCGUAAAGCGCGUUCAGGCGGUUUGGCAAGUCGGGCAUGAAAUCUCUCGGCUCAACCGGGAGAGGUUGUCCGAUACUGCUGGACUUGAGGGCAGUAGAGGGUGGUGGAAUUCCGGGUGUAGUGGUGAAAUGCGUAGAUAUCCGGAGGAACACCAGUGGCGAAAGCGGCCACCUGGACUGCACCUGACGCUGACACGCGAAAGCUAGGGGAGCGAACGGG
rnacentral:rRNA from 1 species